CCUACGGGCGGCUGCAGUAGGGAAUCUUCCACAAUGGGCGAAAGCCUGAUGGAGCAACGCCGCGUGGGUGAAGAAGGUCUUCGGAUCGUAAAACCCUGUUGUUAGAGAAGAAAGUGCGUGAGAGUAACUGUUCACGUUUCGACGGUAUCUAACCAGAAAGCCACGGCUAACUACGUGCCAGCAGCCGCGGUAAUACGUAGGUGGCAAGCGUUAUCCGGAUUUAUUGGGCGUAAAGGGAACGCAGGCGGUCUUUUAAGUCUGAUGUGAAAGCCUUCGGCUUAACCGGAGUAGGGCAUUGGAAACUGGGAGACGUGAGUGCAGAAGAGGAGAGGGGAACUCCAUGUGUAGCGGUGAAAUGCGUAGAUAUAUGGAAGAACACCAGUGGCGAAAGCGGCUCUCUGGUCUGUAACUGACGCUGAGGUUCGAAAGCGUGGGUAGCAAACAGGAUUAGAUACCCUUGUAGUC
rnacentral:rRNA from 1 species